rnacentral:rRNA from 1 species
GAUGAACGCUGGCGGCGUGCCUAAUACAUGCAAGUCGAGCGAACAGACGAGGAGCUUGCUCCUCUGACGUUAGCGGCGGACGGGUGAGUAACACGUGGAUAACCUACCUAUAAGACUGGGAUAACUUCGGGAAACCGGCGCUAAUACCGGAUAAUAUAUUGAACCGCAUGGUUCAAUAGAGAAAUACGGUUUUGCUGUCACUUAUAGAUGGAUCCGCGCCGCAUUAGCUAGUUGGUAAGGUAACGGCUUACCAAGGCAACGAUGCGUAGCCGACCUGAGAGGGUGAUCGGCCACACUGGAACUGAGACACGGUCCAGACUCCUAAGGGAGGCAGCAGUAGGGAACCUUCCGCAAUGGGCGAAAGCCUGACGGAGCAACGCCGCGUGAGUGAUGAAGGUCUUCGGAGCGUAAAAACCUGUUAUUAGGGAAGAACAAAUGUGUAAGUAACUAUGCACGUCUUGACGGUACCUAAUCAGAAAGCCACGGCUAACUACGUG